rnacentral:lncRNA from 1 species
UUGAAGUUUAUUUCUUCCCCAGUUGAGUUGAGUGCGUUUUUUCCUUAGUGAAAUCGCUUUUCUUGCAUGGUUCGAGUAUUUCAAUUUUAUUCUGAUUUACCUGUUCCCCUGUAGACGUUCCUUUGUUUCCCCGAUUGAGUUUUUCCAUUUUCAUGGAAUUCCUCUAGUCCCCCAACAGUUUUUAAGUCGUAGCCUGGCCUACAUGCAACCCUUUUAUCCCCCCAGAGUCUCU